CCUAUGCCAGUGAUGGUGUUAAAUAUACUUUGAGUAGCUUUACUCUGAAAAGAAUUUAAUUCUGAGGCUGCCAAGGCAUUUU